GACGAACGCUGGCGGCGUGCCUAAUACAUGCAAGUCGAGCGGACGGAUGGGAGCUUGCUCCCUGAAGUUAGCGGCGGACGGGUGAGUAACACGUGGGCAACCUGCCCUAUAGUUUGGGAUAACUCCGGGAAACCGGGGCUAAUACCGAAUGAUACAUUUCAUCUCCUGUUGGAAUGUUGAAAGAUGGUUUCGGCUAUCGCUAUAGGAUGGGCCCGCGGCGCAUUAGCUAGUAGGUGAGGUGACGGCUCACCUAGGCGACGAUGCGUAGCCGACCUGAGAGGGUGAUCGGCCACACUGGGACUGAGACACGGCCCAGACUCCUACGGGAGGCAGCAGUAGGGAAUCUUCCACAAUGGACGAAAGUCUGAUGGAGCAACGCCGCGUGAGUGAAGAAGGUUUUCGGAUCGUAAAACUCUGUUGUAAGGGAAGAAUAAGUGCAGUAGUAACUGGCUGCACCUUGACGGUACCUUAUUAGAAAGCCACGGCUAACUAC
rnacentral:rRNA from 1 species